AAGAAGACUUUCUGUCGAUACUCUUGAUACAUUGUGCCUUACUGUCGAUACUCUCUCAACACUCAACACUCAACACUCAACUCUCCCAACCUUUAGCACUAGCUCUGUCGGCACCCUAAACGAAAUCUCAGUCUUAAAUUGAUCUCUUGCAAAUCCUCUCUCAGUCCUAAAUCUCUUACAAACCCUCCCUCAGUCCCGUCUCACACUCUGUCGCGGCCGAUUUGGGUCUAUCUCACUUAACAAAAGGAUUUCGUUUGAACCAAGGUCGAUUUCCUUCAGUAUUAUGAAGACAUUGUCACCAAAAGGCACUUGGUUUUCUGCGGACGAUUCAGACUAAGAGAACGAAGAAGGUUGGAAUAGCCGGGAAAUAUGGUAUCAUCUAAUUAAGGACUGGG